ACAGCAAAGCUAUGUCCCUUCAGCCCCGUGCAAAGAGUUUUUAAGCCAAACAUGAUGCUACUUUCAGGUUCAGAUUUCAUGCUAAGUAUUUUGAGAUGAUGGAAAUGUUUAGGCAUUUUGGAAUUAUGUCGUCUCAGGUUUUUCUUGGUGAAAAACAACACUCUCUGCACGUGUAUUUGCAUUACGGAAGCACCACACAGAACUAACAAAAUACCAAGGUUAUAUCCUGUCAUGCAAGCAAGUAAUAAUCCCCACCUUCUGUAUUCAAUCUUGGCUAAUAACAGCAGCAAGUAAGUGAAACAGAAUGAAAUCAGAGAAGUGUAAAACCAGAAGCUGUCCAUAUACAGAAACCGUCUCGGUUCAUCACCUGCCCAGCCAGCACUGGUUACCUCAAUGGAAAGUUCUCCCACUGCCUGACACUGUAUGGGAGGGACUGGCGAGCUGGUGAGAAGCUGUCAGUGCUGAUAAAGCAAAGGGAGGGGUCAGCUGCAGUACGAGGAAACUGUCUUUGUCUCAACCCAUGCAUUUUUCUUGCUUUUGCCCUUUGGAGUCUCUCCCACAUCCCACUUUGGGGGCAGUAAGUGAGCAUCUAGGUGGGUGUUUAGCUGUUGGCCAGGGUCAACCCACCACCUAUAGGAAAGCCCUAAGCUCCCUCCUCCUGCCUCCCAGCUACCAGGCAGGUGAGAAACAAGGAGAUGUGGUUGCUUUUGAGUUAGACUUCCUGCAUAUGAAAGACCUACUACCUGAACAUCCACAGAUAAGAAUCAUAUGGUUGUGUAUGUAUGAGUUGAUUUUCUGCCUCACAUUAAGUGCAUUCUUUCUUAACAUUUCCAGAUUCCUAGACUGUAUCAGACAUAAAUUCAGAUACAAAAAAACUACUGAACUGGGUUGGGCACAGUGCAGGUAACAUGAUACCUGUUCUAAAGUCUGAUAAAAUUGCAUGCUUUCUUUUGUGUGUAAUCUCUUUUCCUUUAUAUCACUUAAAUAUUGAUACCACGUGUCAUCAUUAUCCCUCUCAGAACUCAUUGAAGGGAGUUGGGGGGGAAGGCAGACGUCAAAUUGACCUUGAUUUGACUUUGAUGGAAUGAAGACAGAGAUAUGAACUGAACUGAGUGACAUUAAAAAUGAACUUGUUUUUGUCUGUCAAUAAUUCAGAUUUCAUUAAGACUAAAUCAGGUCACUGAAAUGUUAGGAAAAGCCAUCUAGUGUCAAAAAGAGGUUUAAGAAGAACUUAAUGCCUAAAAGCAAUCUAAUGGCUAUACCAAUUCUGGAUACACUGAAAAUCAAGGACUAAAUCUGCUCAGUUACUGAUGUAGCAGUAGCGCAGAGACUAUAGCUUGUAUUGGUCAGGCAGCAGGGCACAUAAUGUACUUACACAGAGGAAGGAGCUAACAAAGAAAUUCUGCACAUCUAUAUGAGAAACAAUAUUGAAAAUAAGGAUAAAAGAUGGAGGAAAGCCACAGAACUUGAGGAAUUUUAUUUCCCAGGUCAAACUGUUCAUAUAAGAAGCAGAGCUGUGGCCACUGCAGAGCUUUCAGCGGGUCAAAUCCCAUAUUUCCUACAUACAGAAGCUAUAUGGACUUAAUUCAAGCAAUUUUAACUGCAUUAUCUCACAUUUUUUGUGUGGUCUCUCUUUUAUUGACUUAAAACUAUUUUUAUCUGUCAGACUUAUGACAAUACCUUUAGACCAUAAGCAUGAAUUAAGCUUGCAAAUAGUUGCUUCAUUCAAAGUCGUUACUACUCCCCAGCCAGCUGUUCACCAAUGACCUUUUGCAAAAAGCCACUUCCACCCUCAGUUCUGCCAGCCUGUGCUCAAAUGGGUCCCUUGGUGCCAGUGAGGCUGGUGAGUGACCUCAGUGAAGUGUCCAAAGGGCACCUACAAAAUAGGUAUGGGUACAGUAACCUGCUGCUGGAUGGUGACAAAUAGUGAGACAUUGUAUCUUCAUCUGUUCCAGGAAUUCUGGGAUGGAAACUGCAGUCUGCUGCCCUGUUGAUGGCUAAACCUGUAGAAACAGGUCUGAACCAUGCUAAAACUUCGAUUGCACACAGCCUUGUGUACUGUACUGUUCUUGCUAUAUGGAUUUGAAAAUCCUGCUAACCUGGAAACCCCCUUGUACAAACAUAUUUAUAGCAUUCUAAAGGGUUUGUUUUAACUGAUGUGAUAUCUGUAUAAAUUUAUCUCUAAUACAAUAGCUAUUUUAUCAUAAUCUACAGCAGGAAGUUGUGCUGCAUCCUGAGCCAAUAUAUAAGCACAAAAGAAGAUUAGAUCUUUAUCUACAUCUUUUCUUUGUCAUUCUCACAAGCCCAUUUUAAUUUAAUUUUAUCUAAUCAUACUGUAAUGUAAAGUAGUGCAGUAUUUAAGUGGUUCUAGGAGGCCUUUAUUAGCUUAAUGGAGAAAACACC